rnacentral:rRNA from 1 species
CAAGCAGAUAAGUGAAAUCAUGUGGCUCAACCAUUAUGGCUAUUAUCUGAACUGGCAAACUAGAGAAUAGUAGAGGUAGCUGGAAUUUCUAGUGUAGGAGUGAAAAUCCGUAGAUAUUAGAAGGAACACCAAUGGCGUAGGCAGGCUACUGGACUAUUUCUGACGCUGAAGGCACGAAAGCGUGGGGAGCGAACCGGAUUAGAUACCCGGGUAGUCCACGCUGUAAACGAUGGGAUGCUA